rnacentral:rRNA from 1 species
GACGAAGGAUCCAAGCGUUAUCCGGAUUCAUUGGGUUUAAAGGGAGCGUAGGCGGACUUAUAGGUCAGUGGUGAAAGCCGAUAGCUUAACUAUCGAAUUGCCAUUGAUACUGUAGGUCUAGAGUACAGAUGAUGUUGGCGGAAUAUGACAUGUAGCGGUGAAAUGCAUAGAUAUGUCAUAGAACACCGAUUGCGAAGGCAGCUGACAAAACUGUAACUGACGCUGAGGCUCGAAAGUGCGGGGAUCAAACAGG